GCGAACGGAUAAGGAGCUUGCUCCUUUGAAGUUAGCGGCGGACGGGUGAGUAACACGUGGGUAACCUACCUAUAAGACUGGAAUAACUUCGGGAAACCGGAGCUAAUGCCGGAUAACAUUUGGAACCGCAUGGUUCUAAAGUAAAAGAUGGUUUUGCUAUCACUUAUAGAUGGACCCGCGCCGUAUUAGCUAGUUGGUAAGGUAACGGCUUACCAAGGCAACGAUACGUAGCCGACCUGAGAGGGUGAUCGGCCACACUGGAACUGAGACACGGUCCAGACUCCUACGGGAGGCAGCAGUAGGGAAUCUUCCGCAAUGGACGAAAGUCUGACGGAGCAACGCCGCGUGAGUGAUGAAGGUUUUCGGAUCGUAAAACUCUGUUAUUAGGGAAGAACAAAUGUGUAAGUAACUGUGCACAUCUUGACGGUACCUAAUCAGAAAGCCACGGCUAACUACGUGCCAGCAGCCGCGGUAAUACGUAGGUGGCAAGCGUUAUCCGGAAUUAUUGGGCGUAAAGCGCGCGUAGGCGGUUUCUUAAGUCUGAUGUGAAAGCCCACGGCUCAACCGUGGAGGGUCAUUGGAAACUGGGAAACUUGAGUACAGAAGAGGAAAGUGGAAUUCCAUGUGUAGCGGUGAAAUGCGCAGAGAUAUGGAGGAACACCAGUGGCGAAGGCGACUUUCUGGUCUGUAACUGACGCUGAUGUGCGAAAGCGUGGGGAUCA
rnacentral:rRNA from 1 species